rnacentral:rRNA from 1 species
AGAGUUUGAUCCUGGCUCAGGACGAACGCUGGCGGCGUACUUAACACAUGCAAGUCGAACGAGAACGGGGACUUCGGUCCCUUAGUAAAGUGGCGAACGGGUGCGUAACACGUAAGUAAUCUGCCCCAGACUCUGGGAUAACGUUUCGAAAGAGGCGCUAAUACCGGAUAGUUUCUAGUGGCACAAGUCGCUGGAGGAAAGUUAGCUUGCUUUCGGUCUGGGAUGAGCUUGCGGCCCAUUAGCUAGUUGGUGGGGUUAAGGCUCACCAAGGCGACGAUCAGUAGCUGGUCUGAGAGGAUGAUCAGCCACAUUGGGACUGAGACACGGCCCAAACUCCUACGGGAGGCAGCAGUGGGGAAUAUUGGACAAUGGGCGCAAGCCUGAUCCAGCCAUGCCGCGUGAGUGAUGAAGGCCUUAGGGUUGUAAAGCUCUUUCGUCCGGGACGAUAAUGACGGUACCGGAAGAAGAAGCCCCGGCUAACUUCGUGCCAGCAGCCGCGGUAAUACGAAGGGGGCUAGCGUUGUUCGGAAUCACUGGGCGUAAAGGGCGCGUAGGCGGCUUUGUAAGUCGGGGGUGAAAGCCUGUGGCUCAACCACAGAAUUGCCUUCGAUACUGCAUGGCUUGAGACCGGAAGAGGUUAGUGGAACUGCGAGUGUAGAGGUGAAAUUCGUAGAUAUUCGCAAGAACACCAGUGGCGAAGGCGGCUGACUGGUCCGGUUCUGACGCUGAGGCGCGAAAGCGUGGGGAGCAAACAGGAUUAGAUACCCCCGUAGUCC